CCUACGGGUGGCAGCAGUGGGGAAUAUUGCACAAUGGGGGAAACCCUGAUGCAGCCACGCCGCGUGAGUGAAGAAGUACUUCGGUAUGUAAAGCUCUAUCAGCAGGGAAGAAAGUGACAGUACCUGUUUAAGAAGCCCCGGCUAACUACGUGCGAGCAGCCGCGGUAAUACGUAGGGCGCAAGCGUUAACCGGUUUGACUGGGUGUAAAGGGAGCGUAGACGGCAGCACGAGUCUGGUGUGAAAUGCCCGGGCUUAACCCCGGAACUGCUUUUGAAACUGGGCAGCUAGAGUGCAGGAGAGGUAAGUGGAAUUCCAAGUGUAGCGGUGAAAUGCGUAGAUAUGAGGAGGAACACCGGUGGCGAAGGCGGCUUCCUGGACUGUAACUGACGUUGAGGCUCGAAAGCGUGGGGAGCAAACAGGAUUAGAUACCCGUGUAGUC
rnacentral:rRNA from 1 species